AGCAUACUUUGAGCUAUCUAACUGGUCGAAAUACAGUACCUAGCGUGUUUGUUGGUGGAAAGUUCAUUGGAGGAGGAACAGAAACUGAUGAACUACAUAAAUCUGGGAAACUGACAGAAAUACUUAAGACUAACAACAUUCUAUGAUAUUUUAUAAGUUAGGGGAAAUACAAAAUUUCAGAGACACCAACCUGGAGAAACGUGUCUGCAGUGUCUCACACACGAAGUCUUCACAUAAUUGUGGAAAAAUUUGUUCCACAAAAAACAGCUUGCUAUCGGUGGCAAACCCAAUAAAUUUGGAUAAACUGUGACUGUCUCAGUACGGCGUCAUCUUCCCAUGUCGAAUUGGAGCGGUUCAGUUGACUCUCCAUGGAACAGUUUACAUAGGAAAUCAGUGAAACCAAGUGUAACGUUCUCAAUUUGUAUCAAUCAAUGGCAAUCAAUUUCCUGUUCUACAAGCCUAGUCCUAUAGCUAUCUUCUAUUUUUCUUUUCCCACCCCAACACCAAAAAAGACGUCUUUGUUUCAGUCGCCUUUGCAGUAAAGUUGUGGACUUUAAAUCCUAUCCAGUCCUCGUUUUCGGCAUUAUAUAUUUAUAUAUCCUCUCUUCGUUCCAUCUAUAUGAUUGCUUUGUUUGUAACACGUGAUUGCUUUUGUAUUUGAAGUAAUAAGAGUGCAAUUUGAAAAAAAGCG